GACAGAGGAUGCAAGCGUUAUCCGGAAUGAUUGGGCGUAAAGCGUCUGUAGGUGGCUUUUUAAGUCUGCCGUCAAAUCCCAGGGCUUAACCCUGGACAGGCGGUGGAAACUACCAAGCUGGAGUACGGUAGGGGCAGGGGGAAUUUCCGGUGGAGCGGUGAAAUGCGUAGAGAUCGGAAAGAACACCAACGGCGAAAGCACUCUGCUGGGCCGACACUGACACUGAGGCGCGAAAGCGUGGGGAGCAAACAGG
rnacentral:rRNA from 1 species